AUUUUCACACUGGAUAUUUUCUUUUGAUUUAUCAUCAAUUUCAUUGACUCUUUCCUUGGUCAUCUCUGGUCUGCUAUAGAGCCCAUCCAGUGAGGUUUUUUAAAAUUUUGGUUAUGAAUUUGGUUAUGAAUUAUUAAGUUCUAAAAUUUCCAUUUGGUUCUUCUUUACAUGUGAUCUUUUUUUGCAGAGACUUUCCAUCUUUCUUUUUUGUUUCAGGAGUGUUCACCUUACUUUCAAGCACUUUUAUAAAGCUGCUUUGACAUCUUUGUCAGAUAAUUCCAGCAUGUUUGUCAUCUCGCCAUUGAGAUUCUUGGUCUUUGUUUCAAUAUAAUAGGGAAUGUUUACAGUUUUGUUUUAGGAGGCAAUUGACCCAUUUAGGUUCAGACCACAGGUUCUUACCAUCCUUCUGUGGGCAGUGGUAUCAUUGUCAAUGCAAUUUUCAAAGUUUGCAGACUUAUUUGGCUUGGUCCCAUGUGUAUGCUACCCACUCAGUAUCCAGUCUGGGACUUGUUUGGUUGUUUAUUUCUUCAGUUCUCGGAGUCUGUUGUCUGCUUUUUAGUGUCAGAUCCACCCAUUCUGUUGCUCCCUCUCUAUUAUCUCUUCAGUACUUCUGGUUCAUAUGGUUCCAUCCUUUCUCAGUGUCUGGGGCUAACCAGCAGAAGGAUAGAAAGAGAGGAAAAGCAUCAAAGGCUCGCCCUACCCUACUGAGACUGCUGAUUCUCUGAUUGGAGAGGAAGGUUGCCAUGCUGCCACAUUAAGUUUGUUUCAGGCUGGUACACAUGAGAACAGAAAAAAGGAAAAGAAAAAAAAUUGGGGUGUUUCCGUAUACUUUCUUGAGUUUUCAAGAACCCCUUUCCCAUUCUUCAAGCCAGAACUAAACUUAGGUUUCCCCUGGUGCUCUCUGUCCACAUCAGUGUAUGCUUCCAGGUGUUGGGCUGCAGUCUGUCCACACCAAGGGAUACUGCAAGAAAAAGAAAUGCUAAACUCACACUUGAUUCUGUGAUACUUUGAAUUCUGGUCUUCUUCCUGAGUCCUCCUGCCACUGUUUACUUUUCAGAGUCUUCAAAUAGUUGCUCCUAGGUUUUAUAACAACCUUCCAGUGGGAAUAAGGUAGUGUGUUUACUCCAUCUUAUCUGGAAUGGAACUCUCUCCGUAGAUUUUUUUUAAGCAAAUAAAACAUGAAAUCGGCACUUCUUUUUGGGAACAUAAGUUUUCCUAACUAGUUAUGUGGUAGCACAAUCUAGCAUCCAUUACUUUACAUCUAACUUUCUAGCAUAAUUAAAAAAGGGUUGUUUUUCAUUUAAAAAAAUGUACUUGGGCUUUAUUUUCCCAAAGGGCUUAAUUUCUUUUUAUAUUCAAAUCAUUAUUUUUCCAAGUGCCUUUCCUAACAUCUUCUUUCAUAAUUCUUUCUUCCACUAUUGUUGAACAUUAACUGUACCAGAUAUCUUGUUGCAUGACUUCUAGCAUGAUGUACACAGUCCUCCAUCAUUUCCCUUGACUUAAGGAAAUCUUGACCUUUAUGAUAGAUUUUGCUCAUUCACUUUGUUGAUUUCCAUUGUACUUUCAGCUGUUUGCAAAGGCACUGACUCACAAAGAAAGAAAUUCACAUAGUGAGUAGGGAGAGAUGUUAGUGUUAAGUAGGAGAUACUGUUUGGAUGGAGAAUAAAUUCUCCUUCCCUUUUUUAUUGUGAUAAAAUAUAUAUAACAUAAGUGGGGUGGGCUCCCAAUCCGGUUCCAUCCGGUUUUUCCACCGCCCCCGCGGCGCGUUGCAGCAGCUCAGGCGGCGGGAGGAGCGGCAGUGGGCAGGCAGCCCAGCUUAGCGAAGGCUCUCCGGCGCGCCCGCAGCCACCCGGCACGCGCCCGCCCCGCCGCCACGAUGCCCCAGAGGAAGGUGAGCUCCGCCGACGACGCUGCGAAGGAGGAGCCCAAGAGGAGGUCGGCGCAGUUGUCCGCGAAGCCUGCGCCUGCGAAAGUGGAAGCGAAGCCCAAGAAGGCGACAGCAAAUGAUAAAUCUUCAGACAAAAAAGUGCAAACAAAGGGGAAGAGGGGAGCAAAGGGAAAACAGGCUGAAGUGGCUAACCAAGAAACAAAAGAAGACUUACCUGCAGAAAAUGGAGAAACAAAAAAUGAGGAGAGUCCAGCAUCCGAUGAAGCAGGAGAGAAAGAAGUCAAGUCUGAUUAAUAUCACAUACCAUGUCUUAUCAGUGGUCCCUGUCUCCCUUCUUGUACAAUCCAGAGGAAUAGUUUUAUCAACUAUUUUGUAAAUGCAAGUUUUUUAAUAGCUCUAGAAACAUUUUUAAGAAGGAGGGAAUCCCACCUCAUCCCAUUUUUUAAGUGUAAAUGCUUUUUUUUAAGAGGUGAAAUCAUUUGCUGGUUGCUUAUUUUUUGGUACAACCAGAAAAUAGUGGGAUAUUGAAUGUGGGAGGCUUUGAUUGUCUUGGGUGUCAGCUCAACAUUCCAUAGAUGGGUAGUUUUUAUAUCCUGUAAUACCAAGCAUACUAAAUGGCAAUUUGGGGUCAGUCGUGCAUUUAAUAUGUCUUGAAUAUUUUAAAUUACUCCUUUUCCCAUGUUGUUUUGGUAGAAUUGUUGCCUAAAGAAAACCACUCCUAGAUCUUGGCUCUCCCUGUCAGAAUUCUUGUGCACUCUGUAACAUCUUGGUUGUGGUAGUCCAGUUUUCCUAGUAACUCUGUUAAUGUGCUGUGCAGGGUUGAAAAUUUGAGUAUGUAGUGUAUAUGAUAUUAAAUUGUGAAUUAAUGAGACUUAACACUGUAACAGUGUAUCAGCAUUUGAAUCUAUUGGUACUUGAUAACACUGUUAAGGAAAAAUUGCCUCCAAAUUUUAAGCUGGAAGGUCACUGGAAUAACUUUUAGAAAAGAAUCACAACUAUGUGACUUUUUAAAUUUUUAGUACGUACGUUAGGAAUUGUGUACAAAUUGAAAUGUCUGUACUGAUCCUCAGAACAACGAAUAAAAACUCAGU